UGAGGAAUAUUGGUCAAUGGGCGGGAGCCUGAACCAGCCAAGUCGCGUGAGGGAGGAAGGUCCUACGGAUUGUAAACCUCUUUAGCCGGGGAGCAACGUGCGCCACGCGUGGCGCAGUGAGAGUACCCGGAGAAUAAGCAUCGGCUAACUCCGUGCCAGCAGCCGCGGUAAUACGGAGGAUGCAAGCGUUAUCCGGAUUCAUUGGGUUUAAAGGGUGCGUAGGCGGCUUGGUAAGUCAGCGGUGAAAUUCCAGUGCUCAACAUUGGCCGUGCCGUUGAUACUGCUGGGCUUGAAUGCGGAUGCCGUGGGAGGAAUGUGCGGUGUAGCGGUGAAAUGCAUAGAUAUCACACAGAACACCGAUUGCGAAGGCAUCUCACGAAUCCGCAAUUGACGC
rnacentral:rRNA from 1 species